UAAAACGACCGCCUGUUUAUCAAAAACAUGGUAUUUUGGUUUUAUUUAAUAUCGUACCUGCCCACUGAGUUAUUGAAGGGCCGCGGUAUAUUGACCGUGCAAAGGUAGCAUAAUCAUUAGGUUUUUAAUUGAAAUCUGGUAUGAAGGGUUUAACGUAAUAUUAACUGUCUCAUUUUUUUUAUAUUGAAUUUAACUUUUUAGUUAAAAGGCUUAAAUUAUAAUAAGGGACGAAAAGACCCUAUAGAUCUUUAUAAUUAUUAAAUUAUUAAAUAUUUGGUUGGAUUUAAUUGAUAUAUUAUAAAUUAUUUUACUGGGGCGGUAUAAAGAAAAUUUUAACUCUUUAUUUUUCUAUAAUGAUUAUUAGGUGAAGGAAUUAUUAUUAAUGAUUUAAGAUAAAGUUACCUUAGGGAUAACAGCGUUAUUUAUUUGGAGAGUUCAUAUUGAUAAAUAAGUUUGCGACCUCGAUGUUGAAUUAAGAUUUCAAUUGGAUGUAGAAGUUCAUUAGGAAAGUCUGUUCGAC
rnacentral:rRNA from 1 species